UGGACAGAUUAUUGUAUUCGACUGUAUUCACGGUGUGAAACAGGGGAUUACAUUGUUUUUAAACGGGAAGUGAAUCAAUUAACACAAUAGACUCCU
rnacentral:pre_miRNA from 1 species